GACGAACGCUGGCGGCGUGCUUAACACAUGCAAGUCGAACGGAAAGGCCCUGCUUUUGUGGGUUGCUCGAGUGGCGAACGGGUGAGUAACACGUGAGUAUCCUGCCCUUGACUUUGGGAUAACUUCAGGAAACUGGGGCGCAUACCGGAUAGGAGCUCCUGCUGCGUGGUGGGGGUUGGAAAGUUUCGGCGGUUGGGGAUGGAUUCGCGGGUUAUCAGCUUGUUGGGGGGGUAGUGGCUGACCAGGGGUUUGAAGGGUAGCCGGCCUGAGAGGGUGACCGGCCACAUUGGGACUGCGAUACGGACCAGAAUGCUACGUGCGGCAGAAGUGGGGAAUAUUGCAGAAUGGGCGGAAGCCUGAUGCAGCAACGCCGCGUGCGGGAUGACGGCCUUCGGGUUGUAAACCGAUUUCGCAUGUGACGAAGCGUGAGUGACGGUAAUGGGUAAAGAAGCACCGGCUAACUACGUG
rnacentral:rRNA from 1 species